GUUUAUCCUGUGGCUGAAACACUUAUGGAAGAGAAGCCAUUGAAUAUUAAAAUACUUAGCACUUUGUAAACGUAUGUUUUAAAAAUUAUAAACCAAGUAAAUCUAUUUCUUUAAAGUAUGCUAAUAGAUGGAUAACCAGCUAAAAUAAGUAAAAACUUUGUGCCAACUACUGACAGUUCUUUGGUCUAAAGCUCUAGAGAGCAUGUGGCACUGACAGGACCCAGACAUAGUUCUGAAGGCAGUGACCUCAAAUUAGUGGAGAAAACUCCUUGAGAAGCUUACAACCACGCGCACCUUAAUGUUGCAGGGUUUUAGUGCAAUGGGGAAAAGAAGAGUUUUAGGAGAAAAACAGGAUGUGAUCCAGGCCAAAAUCACAGGAAGAGUCUGUCACUUCACCUGCAAGAUAAAAGCAGGAUAAUCUUUAAGGGUAGAAACACGUGGUAUACCCUCGUGUGAGGGGAUUCCAUAGGGGAUGUCAAGAACCUGCUGUGUUGGGCACCAUAAGAUGUCAAUCAUCUGUUCUGGAUGCGGGUGGGCUUAGAAACUGUGAUUCAUUACAUUUCUCCUCUUUACCUUGUUCUUUUUCACAACACAACAUCGAUUUGUCAAUGUGUCAACUACAUCCCUGUACUGGAAAACAGAGGGGAACGUGUGGGAGAAGAAGGCACAGCCGCAGAAGACAGAGAGGAGGGCUUGCGUCACACCUGUAAGUGGUAGGGGUUAGAGUCCACUGAGCAAAUACUUGAGAACAGAACGUAGGAAUGGAGGUUUGGAAGACAGUCCAGGUAUAAUGGGCUGCAGCCAGUAAGGUAUGACCAUACUUCGGCCAUAUGAGACCCACGCUUCCUUGCCUAGAUCUGUACUGGUAGUGGGUCUGUAAGAACUUCUGGUACAGAAAUCCAUCGUGGGGCUCAUGGUGGUCAGCUGGAGCCUCCUGCCUACAGGAAAGUGCUACCCCAUGACUGACUGAAGAGUCUCCUCUACCUUGGUAACUGGGCUUCUCUGCUAGUCCUGUCAAGCACGGGUGGCCAGCUCACAGACAUAAGGAUGCAUCCUCAAGUCAAGUUCCUGGAACUCCUCAGCUGACACUGGUGACAGCCAGACAGCUCUGUUCCCUCAGUCCCAGAAGUAGAGCACUUCAUGAGGCACAGCCUUGCAAGUCCCAGCCUGUGAGUCUCUGGUAUUCUCCUUCCUGAGAUGUCUCAAGUGCCGCAUGCUAUAGCCUCCACGUACUGCAAUCCUGAGGAGGGAAAUGUGGGCUGCAAGGUGAGGUGCCCUCUGUUAGUGAAUAAAGUAAUUCUGAAGGCAGUGGGAGGAAAAUGCAAGUCCUAAGAGGCAAAAUAGAACACCCACAUGUCCCAAAGAACAGUGGGAAAUGGUACUUUUCUCCUCACAGGAAGAGAACUUGGUCAAGUGAUCUGACCGCUCCUGUGAGCUGCCGUCUAUGUGGAAGACACAAGUACACCAAGCAUCUGAAAGUUUAAAAAGGAAACAAGAAGCAAGUUAGAAUUAAAAAACAUCUCAUCUGAAGAAGCUCUGCUGUCAGUGAGUAGGUGGUUGAGCGCCACCCCACAAGGCCGAGGCCAAGCUUUGUGGAAAUAGCUUUCUACGGAGCACUGGAGAGAAAACUAACUUCAAUAAAUACUACACAGGCAGUCAAUGGGGGAAUGGCCAGGAUGGAUGACCAAAUGAAGCUGUAGCCGGUACUCCACAGCCAGAUCAUCAGCACUAAGGAGCAGUUCUUUGCUCUCCUGGCUGGGGUCUCAGCAAAACCCAAGUCCCUCUGAGGAUGACAACGAGCACAUUCCUUCACCCUUCACUGUACGAGGCCACAGAACACCAGGAAUAGCUGACAUGGCUCCAAUCCCAACAACCAUCUUUUAGCUCAUGCUGGACUUCUUUUUUUAUUGGAUAUUUUAUGUAUUUACAUUUCAAAUGUUAUCCCCUUUUCCAGUUCCCCCCUUUCCAAUCUUCCCUCCCUUCUUCUAUGCGGAUUCUCCCACUCGUCCACUCCCACCUCAACAUCCUGGCAUUCCUCUACACUCUGUGGGUUGGGGGGAGUUGUCACAGGACCAAGGGCCUCUCCUCCUAUUGAUGCCAGACAAUGCCAUCCUCUGCUACAUAUGCAGCUGGAGCCAUGGGUGGCUCCAUGUGUACUCUUGGGAUGGUGGGUUACUCCCUGGGAGUCUGGGGGGUCUGGUUGGUUGGUAUUGUUGUUCUUCCUGUGGGGUUGCAAUCUCCUUCAGUCCUUUCUCUAACUUCUCCAUUGGGGUGCCCAUGCUCAGUCCGAUGGUUAGCUGCAAUCAUCCUCAUCUGUAUCAGUAGGGCUCUGGUAAGCCUCUCAGGAGACAUCCAUAUCAGGCCCCUGUCAGCAAGCCCUUCUUGGCAUCAGCAGUAGUGACUAGGUUUGGUGGACUUACUAAUACACUGCUCUGUGUCAAAGAACUGAACUCAGUGCAAAGCAGAGCAUAAGGAGUAUGUGGCCAUUAAGCUGGACGACUGAGCUCCACUCUGGUGAACAUGUUACAAGGUUACCCAUCUCUCCUCGGCACCCAGAAAGAGCAGUGCACCUAAUUUCUGAAUUCCUAGCUCUAAUAGAUGGUGAGAAGGUGUUGCUUCUCAUUGGCUGCUCUAUCCAGGCCUUUGCCAGCUGCAAAUGAGCCUGGUAAAUGGCACUGUAAAAUUUGUUCCUCUUCUUCUGUUGGUGACAUUCAUGUAGGUGCUAUGAUAUAUAUUUCUACAAAUAGUAACGCAAGAAGCAGCUGAGUUUACACCCCACAGAGCAUGUGUAUACCCAGCUGUCUCUGAGGCUCAUUGCUUGUUCAUACUCUCCGCCCACAUGGGUCACCAGUGAAUUACUGCCCAUUAGGCUGCUUUUGAACAGAAAUGCUGACUUUCGCCAUCCCAGUUGGGCAUACAUCACACUGUUUGACAUGUAGCAGAGAACGAGUAGCACUAUAUAUUUUCCAAAGGUUGUAAACAAACCUGUUCUCAUGAACUGCCCAUUGUUUGGUUGGCUUUAACCUUACUGCUCUCCGGUCUGUUAAUGUCAUGCUGAUGUGACUCAAGUUCAGUGAAAGGAAUCCUUCUGGUUGAGGGAUAUGAUUUUAAUGUGAGCCCCCACAUACAGCUGUGGGGUAUUAUCUUGAUUACAUUAAUUGAUGCUGAAAGAUCCAUUCCAAUUGUGGGUGGUUCCAUUUACAGAGCUAGGAACCCUAGAUGAAAUAAAACAGAGGAAGGGAGCUGAGCUACAUACAGUUAUUCAUAACUCACUACUUCUUAAUGUGGAUGUGAUGGACUUAAGCCCCUGCCAGUGAGACUUUGCUACCAUGAUGUACCAUGAGGCACAAUAAAAUCCUCUAAGUUGCAUUAGUCGGAGUAUUUCAUCCCAUCAAGAGGAAAAGAAACCCAAGCAAAAGUGGUUGUUUUAGGGCUAUUUCCAUUAUAGACAUUGAACAUUAACUCUCACAUAUCAGUCUAUAGAAUACAAGUAAAGAAGAGAUAAGAGAAGGCUCCUUUGCUACCUACUGACUUCUCUUCUCAUUAGCAGGACCAGGGCAUUCUUGAUACCCAAGGUCUGAGUUUACAGCAGGCUCUUGCUAGUUUCAAGCCAUAAAGUUUCUGCAUACAAAUCUUCUAAAGUAUCAUUCCCCUUUAGACAGCUGAGUUAUUCUUUGAACAGCAUAAUUAGCAUAUAAAGGGUGAGUUUCCCAUCUAAAGGCACCUGAGGCAUUUCAGAUUGGAGUCUCUGGAAAUGACCUUGCUUUUAAGGUGCCUUCAAAUCAAGACUCUUUCACUCCUGCCAGGAGUGCUUUGCUCUACAAAUGAAGGGGAGCCAUUGUUUCUAGCACAAAGAGGGCCUCACACCCAGCCAGUCCUGAAAGGCUCAGGAGUGCUUUUAUAAGAUCCUGUAGCAAAGAGGAGCUGUUGGGAGCACAGGAUGCUGGGGCUCAGCCUACCACUGUUUCCUAUGUUUUUGGCCCCUUCAAACUAGCACCUGAAAGUAACCCUGUAAAACUGUUGUCCAGAGUGCCUGGGACUACAAUUCCCUGGGUCUCUGGAGGAGGUCGACAUUAAUACCUUCUAACUAUGAACUGUUGAGGUGCAGAUAGUAGCUGGCUUGUGGUGCUUUGGGUGCUGGUGCUUGAGGUGGUGAAAUGGCUGGGGACUCCUCUCCUGCCUAUGGAGGCUCCUAAGACUGAAGUGUUUUUCAUUACAAAAAUUAAAACCAUGAACUCUGUGCUUA